GGUAAGGCAACGGGUUUUGGUCCCGUUACUCGGAGGUUCGAAUCCUUCCGUCCCAGA
rnacentral:tRNA from 4 species